GAUGAACGCUGGCGGCGUGCCUAAUACAUGCAAGUCGAGCGAACAGGCGAGGAGCUUGCUCCUCUGACGUUAGCGGCGGACGGUUGAGUAACACGUGGAUAACCUACCUAUAAGACUGGGAUAACUUCGGGAAACCGGAGCUAAUACCGGAUAAUAUAUUGAACCGCAUGGUUCAAUAGUGAAAGACGGUUUUGCUGUCACUUAUAGAUGGAUCCGCGCCGCAUUAGCUAGUUGGUAAGGUAACGGCUUACCAAGGCAACGAUGCGUAGCCGACCUGAGAGGGUGAUCGGCCACACUGGAACUGAGACACGGUCCAGACUCCUACGGGAGGCAGCAGUAGGGAAUCUUCCGCAAUGGGCGAAAGCCUGACGGAGCAACGCCGCGUGAGUGAUGAAGGUCUUCGGAUCGUAAAACUCUGUUAUUAGGGAAGAACAAAUGUGUAAGUAACUAUGCACGUCUUGACGGUACCUAAUCAGAAAGCCACGGCUAACUACGUG
rnacentral:rRNA from 1 species